CGUUUCCUCCGCGGCGAGUCCCUACGCUCCGCCGCGGGAGCCCUGGGAAGGAAUCCCGCCGCCCCGCGCGGUCCGGGGCUGCGGCGGGUGUCCCGGGAGGCGGCGCCCUGGGGCCGCGGCCGAGAAGGGCUCGCGUUCUACUCCUGCGCUCCAGCCGCCAAGUUCCAGGCGGCACGGGCCUCUCGAGACGGAGAGGGCGCGGCUCCCUCGCUUUUUUUUCUGCGGGUUCCUGACCAUCCCCCCGACUCUCCUCCAGUAUUGAAAGGAAAGGGGCGCCGAGCCGUGCCCGGUCCCGCCCCUCUCAGGGACCCCGGGCGUCAGAUUUCCCUCCUGUGAGUUUGGGGCAGAGACUUCAAAGCAGCGCUCCACCUGCCCUGCCCCAGCACCGCGCCUUCGCUCCCGGGAGCCGGACCCGCCCGGCCGCAGAAAGAAUGCAUCUGUCUGUCCCCUUUACUUGUCCUAAUGAUGGAUACUUAGGAUGCCGCGGAUUCCUGUCUUGCAGCCAACAACACUCAUCUGUCCCCUUGUGGAGUCCAGACUGAAUUGCUCAGAGGUACAUGGCCAGGCGGCGAUGAUAUAAGGCAAGCGCAGGUCAUGAUCUCCUGCAUCAGUGGAUGGAGCCCGGAGUUGGGCUCACUCAGCUCAGAGUCUGCUUGGGAUUCUCUCUCUCCUUCUGCACUCCUUCCCCCCAAUCCCUGCUCUCUCUCUCGCAU